GCAGUAGCCGCGGGAAUACGUAGGGUGCGAGCGUUAAUCGGAAUUACUGGGCGUAAAGCGUGCGCAGGCGGUUGUGUAAGACAGGUGUGAAUCCCCGGGCUUAACCUGGGAACUGCGCUUGUGACUGCACAGCUAGAGUAUGGCAGAGGGGGGUGGAAUUCCACGUGUAGCAGUGAAAUGCGUAGAGAUGUGGAGGAACACCGAUGGCGAAGGCAGCCCCCUGGGCCAAUACUGACGCUCAUGCACGAAAGCGUGGGGAGCAAACAGGAUUAGAUACCCCUGUAGUCCCUGUCUCUUAUACC
rnacentral:rRNA from 1 species